rnacentral:rRNA from 1 species
AAGGCUGAGACACGACGUCGAGCUACUACGGUAGUGAAGUCAUUGAUGCCAUGCUUCCAGGAAAAGCCUCUAAGCUUCAGAUUGUAAGGAAUCGUACCCCAAACCGACACAGGUGGUCGGGUAGAGAAUACCAAGGCGCUUGAGAGAACUCGGGUGAAGGAACUAGGCAAAAUGGUACCGUAACUUCGGGAGAAGGUACGCUCUUGAUGGUGAAGUCCCUUGCGGAUGGAGCUGACGAGAGUCGCAGAUACCAGGUGGCUGCAACUGUUUAUUAAAAACACAGCACUGUGCAAAAUCGUAAGAUGACGUAUACGGUGUGACGCCUGCCCGGUGCCGGAAGGUUAAUUGAUGGGGUUAGCGUAAGCGAAGCUCUUGAUCGAAGCCCCGGUAAACGGCGGCCGUAACUAUAACGGUCCUAAGGUAGCGAAAUUCCUUGUCGGGUAAGUUCCGACCUGCACGAAUGGCGUAAUGAUGGCCACGCUGUCUCCACCCGAGACUCAGUGAAAUUGAAAUCGCUGUGAAGAUGCAGUGUACCCGCGGCUAGACGGAAAGACCCCGUGAACCUUUACUACAGCUUGGCACUGAACAUUGAACCUACAUGUGUAGGAUAGGUGGGAGGCUUUGAAGACGUGACGCCAGUUGCGUUGGAGCCGUCCUUGAAAUACCACCCUUGUAUGUUUGAUGUUCUAACGUUGGCCCCUAAUCGGGGUUGCGGACAGUGCCUGGUGGGUAGUUUGACUGGGGCGGUCUCCUCCCAAAGAGUAACGGAGGAGCACGAAGGUGGGCUAAUCACGGUUGGACAUCGUGAGGUUAGUGCAAUGGCAUAAGCCCGCUUAACUGCGAGAAUGACGGUUCGAGCAGGUGCGAAAGCAGGUCAUAGUGAUCCGGUGGUUCUGAAUGGAAGGGCCAUCGCUCAACGGAUAAAAGGUACUCCGGGGAUAACAGGCUGAUACCGCCCAAGAGUUCAUAUCGACGGCGGUGUUUGGCACCUCGAUGUCGGCUCAUCACAUCCUGGGGCUGAAGUCGGUCCCAAGGGUAUGGCUGUUCGCCAUUUAAAGUGGUACGCGAGCUGGGUUUAGAACGUCGUGAGACAGUUCGGUCCCUAUCUGCCGUGGGCGUUGGAAGAUUGAAGGGGGCUGCUCCUAGUACGAGAGGACCGGAGUGGACGAACCUCUGGUGUUCGGGUUGUGUCGCCAGACGCAUUGCCCGGUAGCUAAGUUCGGAAUCGAUAACCGCUGAAAGCAUCUAAGCGGGAAGCGAGCCCUGAGAUGAGUCUU